UGCACCUUUUUAAUUAAAGGCUUUAGUCUCAAAAUACACAUAAACAAAGGUGUUUUCACAAUUUACCUGAUUUAACAAACAAUCUUCUCGAAAGUUGACCUGUAUGUGAAAAUUUGCAAUUGGAACGCGUCAGUGAACUCAUUUGUCAUUGCCAGCACAAAAAAAUAUCGAUUAACCGAUAUUUUGCACGUGUUUAAUAUGGCUACGCUGGCAGCUCGGGCUACUAAUUCCAAUACAGACGAAAAAAUUUAUGUAUGAAACAUUUUAUAUGUAUGUGUAAACGGCAAUAAUUUACGUGUUUACGUAUACUGCAUAUUGUAAAGGCUGUCAUGUAAAAAACAAUGAUUUUUGAAUAAUUUACUCGAUUAAAAGCAAGGGAACGAUGAACAUAUACAUAUGUGUGUAUGUACGUACAUACAUACAUACAUAUGAGUGUGCACAUUUA